rnacentral:siRNA from 1 species
UCCUAUUUGCAUUUUCGUGUG